rnacentral:rRNA from 1 species
UACGUAGGGGGCAAGCGUUGUCCGGAAUUAUUGGGCGUAAAGCGCGCGCAGGCGGUUUAAUAAGUCCAGUGUAUAAGAGCGGGGCUCAACCCCGUUUGGCACUGGAAACUGUUGGACUUGAGUACAGAAGAGGAGAGUGGAAUUCCACGUGUAGCGGUGAAAUGCGUAGAGAUGUGGAGGAACACCAGUGGCGAAGGCGACUCUCUGGGCUGAGACUGACGCUGAGGCGCGAAAGCGUGGGGAGCAAACAGG